UUCCAAGAGAUCAGGUGGUGGGAGAGGGACUGGCGGCAACUGAACUUCAUACUCUGAAGAAGGAGUCCAACAUUUUCCUGAGAUCCAUGCUCUGACGAUGGUGGUUUCUUUGCAGAAAGACCUUCCUGAACAGUCUCUGCAUUCCCACCAUCACUGGCAUGUCAGCUGGCAGCACUGGCUAUUGGCAUCCUCUGGCCCCAGGGACAUCCUGCUGACCUUCCACCAUGGCACCAAUCCUCGCUGCUGUGCCAUGGCAACAUGUUCCUGAAAAGUAUCUUGGUGUGACAGCUCACCUGCUUACAGCAAAAUCCAAGAGCACUUGUUUAAAUGCUCCGUUUCCAGUAAAGGAAACCCUACACCACAGAA